rnacentral:rRNA from 1 species
UAGAUAGAAAGAUUAAACUGAAGAGUUUGAUCAUGGCUCAGAUUGAACGCUGGCGGCAGGCUUAACACAUGCAAGUCGAACGAUGACUCUCUAGCUUGCUAGAGA